AUUGAACGCUGGCGGCAGGCCUAACACAUGCAAGUCGAGCGGAUGAAGGGAGCUUGCUCCUGGAUUCAGCGGCGGACGGGUGAGUAAUGCCUAGGAAUCUACCUGGUAGUGGGGGAUAACGUCCGGAAACGGGCGCUAAUACCGCAUACGUCCUGAGGGAGAAAGUGGGGGAUCUUCGGACCUCACGCUAUCAGAUGAGCCUAGGUCGGAUUAGCUAGUUGGUGGGGUAAAGGCCUACCAAGGCGACGAUCCGUAACUGGUCUGAGAGGAUGAUCAGUCACACUGGAACUUAGACACGGUCCAGACGCCUACGGGAGGCAGCAGUGGGGAAUAUUGGAAAAUGGGCGAAAGCCUGAUCCAGCCAUGCCGCGUGUGUGAAGAAGGUCUUCGGAUUGUAAAGCACUUUAAGUUGGGAGGAAGGGCAGUAAGUUAAUACCUUGCUGGUUUGACGUUACCAACAGAAUAAGCACCGGCUAACUUCGUG
rnacentral:rRNA from 1 species